GACGAACGCUGGCGGCGUGCCUAAUACAUGCAAGUCGAGCGGACUGAUUAAGAGCUUGCUCUUAUGACGUUAGCGGCGGACGGGUGAGUAACACGUGGGCAACCUGCCCUGUAGAUCGGGAUAACACCGAGAAAUCGGUGCUAAUACCGGGUAAUGUCUGAGAUCACAUGAUCUUAGGUUAAAAGAUGGCUCCGGCUAUCACUACAGGAUGGGCCCGCGGCGCAUUAGCUAGUUGGUAAGGUAAUGGCUUACCAAGGCGACGAUGCGUAGCCGACCUGAGAGGGUGAUCGGCCACACUGGGACUGAGACACGGCCCAGACUCCUACGGGGGGCAGCAGUAGGGAAUCUUCCGCAAUGGACGAAAGUCUGACGGAGCAACGCCGCGUGAGUGAUGAAGGGUUUCGGCUCGUAAAGCUCUGUUGUUAGGGAAGAAACAGUACCGAACGAACUAGGUCGGUACCUUGACGGUACCUAACCAGAAAGCCACGGCUAACUACGUG
rnacentral:rRNA from 1 species